UACCCGCUGAAUUUAAGCAUAUCAAUAAGCGGAGGAAAAGAAACCAACAGGGAUUGCCCCAGUAACGGCGAGUGAAGCGGCAAGAGCUCAAAUUUGAAAGCUGGCUCCUUCGGGGUCCGCAUUGUAAUUUGCAGAGGAUGCUUCGGGAGCGGUCCCCAUCUAAGUGCCCUGGAACGGGACGUCAUAGAGGGUGAGAAUCCCGUAUGGGAUGGGGUGUCCGCGCCCGUGUGAAGCUCCUUCGACGAGUCGAGUUGUUUGGGAAUGCAGCUCUAAAUGGGUGGUAAAUUUCAUCUAAAGCUAAAUAUUGGCCGGAGACCGAUAGCGCACAAGUAGAGUGAUCGAAAGAUGAAAAGCACUUUGAAAAGAGAGUUAAAAAGCACGUGAAAUUGUUGAAAGGGAAGCGCUUGCGACCAGACUCGCUCGCGGGGUUCAGCCGGCAUUCGUGCCGGUGUAUUUCCCCGCGGGCGGGCCAGCGUCGGUUUGGGCGGUCGGUCAAAGGCCCUCGGAAGGUAACGCCCCUAGGGGCGUCUUAUAGCCGAGGGUGCAAUGCGACCUGCCUAGACCGAGGAACGCGCUUCGGCUCGGACGCUGGCAUAAUGGUCGUAAGCGACCCGUCUUGAAACACGGA
rnacentral:rRNA from 1 species